AUGAGGUGGGUUGGCCAGAGCUGGUUUGGGUGGAGGGCUGAACGGAGGACGACGGCGGCUGUGGCCUGAUGCUCCUGCUGCCCGUCGAUCCAGAGAGAGAGAGGGGGGUGGACGGCGGCUGGACAGCGGGGCUGUUCGGCGGAGGGAGCGACGGCAGUCUCGGCCUUUGAGGUCGAUCGGUGGUCCAGAGAUGGUGAGAUCGACAACGGUGGUGGCCGAUGGCUGCUGCUGUUCGUCUGUCAAGGAGAGGAGCAGAGGCGAUCUUAGAGAGACCGAGGGAGGCGGCGGCGUUCCGUCGUCGCCAAGGAGGAGAGAGAACAGGGGGAAGAGGGUACCGGUGAUGUUGGCUUAGCUGCUGUCGCUGGGAGGACGAUGGAGGCGGUGGCUGGUUCCAGCUGCUGCGGCCGUCGGGUUGUGCAGGUAGAGGGAAAAGAGGGAGAGAGGUCGAUGAGGGCAAGAGGAGGCGGACUGCCGGUCUCCGCCGACGGCGCUGCCGUCUGGUGGCGCGGCGGCAAGAGGCCGAGAGAGGGGGAUGAAAGGGGGCGGCGCUGAGUAUGUGCGUGUGUUUUGUGUGUGCGUGUGUUUGAAGGGGGAGGAAGAAAGGAAAAUUGGGCUAGGCUAGGUUUGGGCUUGGGGGUGUUGGGCUAGGGCUUAGAUGUUGGGCUUUGAGUUGGGCUGAUUUCUUUGUUUUAAUUCUUCAGUUGGGCUCCUUGGUUGGGCCAAUUUUUGUUUUAAAAAUUUCAGCUGGGCCAUUGUUUUAAAUAAAUGUGUUGGGCCCUAUUUUAUUUAAAGAUUUUGGACUGCCUUCAAUUAAUUAAAUUGGGCUUUCUUAUUUUUAAUUAAUUGAACUAUUAAUUAGUUUGAUUAAUUAUUUUCAAAGACUAAUUUUCAUAAUAAUAUUUUAUUAUUAUUAGAAAGUGCAUAUUUUAAAUUACUUAUUAUAUGCUAAGCAUGACACGAAAUUGCAUUUAUUUUUGCAAUAAAAAUAUUCAUGAUUUAAUUGGUUUUAAUUACAAUUCCAAUUAUUUAAGAAAGUCGAGUAAGAAUAUUGUUGGUGUUCUUAACUCAAGAGAAUUGUUUCAAUUAUUUAUUCAUUAAAGUUUAAAAACCCGGCUAAGUGAAUCAUAAAAUAAUAAGCACAACACCAUGACUUAAGAUUAGCUUCACGAGACCUAUUAAGAAUAGAAUUUCUUGUAGGCUUUGUGACCAAGGGGAUUAGCGCUGCUUUCCCGAGAUGAGUUUAUGUGAUUGUGAUCUUCAGGCUUUGCCUAACCAGGUUGGCUGGCCGGUGCUGACGGGACGGAGCUGAGGCUAGAGAUAAAUUUCUAUGUUAGACUUCCGCUGUAGCAAUUACUCAUAUCAGUCUUUUGUUUUCCCAACUAAAGAUCUUCAUGUUAAAUUACAAAUGAUAUAUCUGACCGAGCUUAGACUCUGCACUACUAAAUUUAUGCUAAUGAAUGUCGGUUGUCAGAAGCAUGAAACAAAACUUGUGAUCCAAAGGGGCCUAGCCCGACUCGUUAUCUUAUUAUUCGGGUUUUAACAAGGUUGUUCCUUGUUUAUUUCUAUGAA